CCACCAAAUCCUGCUUGCCUCACUUGCUAGGACUUACUCUGCAUUUUUAUCACCUGAUGCUGUCUCCUAAUUACAUAGAGUUCAGAUCUGUAAUAGCUCUGCUGACUUCCAAAGUAAAUGUAUAACUUUAUAAACAAGCUCUCAGAUGGAACUGAGAUAUGGAGGGAUGAAGUUUCAGCUUUGUGGCUCUGCUCCUGGACUCUGGCCUUUCACAGAAUGCAAGCUCAUGAUCUUGCCACUCAGGGAGUUGAUUUCUUCAGAAGUUCUUCAGAGAUUCAAAGUGCAGAUAGGACAGUGCACCAAGUCCUGCACCUGAGCUGAUUGCAGACACAUACAGAUCAGUGGAUGGGAAAGUCUCUAAUGUCUUUGUUUGCUUCCAAAAGGCAUUUUCCUCAAUCUGGUGCCAUGAGUCAAGAACUGAUUUUAGUGUUUGGAUAAUAAAUCCUUCAUCCAACUCUUAAAA